CUUUAGCAGAAUUAUCUCACUGAAUUAAAAGGAACUCUUUUUUCAGGUGCGCAUGAUGCAACUUCCUGGAUGGUGUGUAGGCUGUUUGUCAACAUGUGAAUCCCACGUGCAUUUCGGGGAGUUGUCUCCCCUUGAAAAGAUCAAUAAUGGCGGAUAAACAAUGCGGCAUGCAGUCUUGUCACCAACGGACAGUUUUGACCACCCGUGUACCCAUAUUUCUACCAGAUACCUCUGAAACCUUUGUUGUGUUCAUCACACAGAUGAUGGACCACUCUACUUCCUUUUACAACAGGUGCCCCUACAGAUUCACAAAGUUCCAGUGUUGAGUUUCCAUGACCCCUAUUCAGUGAGUGUACAACUUUAUGUAUUCUACUUUCAAAAUUUCUACUACUUGUAAUACAUUUUGGAUUUGA